GACGUAGGGCGCGAGCGUUGUCCGGAUUUAUUGGGCGUAAAGAGCUCGUAGGUGGUUUGUCGCGUUGUUCGUGAAAACUCACAGCUCAACUGUGGGCGUGCGGGCGAUACGGGCAGACUGGAGUACUGCAGGGGAGACUGGAAUUCCUGGUGUAGCGGUGGAAUGCGCAGAUAUCAGGAGGAACACCGGUGGCGAAGGCGGCCUGCUGGGCAGUAGCUGACGCUGAGGCGCGACAGCGUGGGGAGCAAACAGG
rnacentral:rRNA from 1 species